ACGAAGAAAAACAUGCUGAGAUAGAGGAAAAUUCUCUCAGCAGCAUUACGGAAUGCUAAUGGCGGAAGCUUGCUUUUUAGAGAGGGUAAGUAUUCCUCCAUUAUCCCUCCCUGCAACCCUUGUCGAUGGACUUCCCUACGAUUCCGGGACGACGUCUAUAAGUUGGCGCAUGAGGCGGCUGUUAAGCAAUCACGAGAUCGAAUGGCAGUAAAGAUGAGAUGAGUAGGAGUAUACUUACUGACAUGAAUGAAUUUGAGAAACAUCGUGGGAAGGUAUCAAAAGCGAAUAAGGUUAUAGUUCCUGCAGUGUCAGCACUCAAGUUUCCUUCCCUCGAAGUCUACUUUACGAAUGGUUCUAAGCUUACACUUCUCGUGACCUCCAAAGAAGACGAAGCAAAUUUGUCCUCAUCAAAUACGGCUAAGCUGCCCCUAACCUCGAAAACUAAUGAUACGAAUGUGUUGACAUCAGAUACUGCUGAAACAGACAUUGCUAAGGCGUCUUUAAUAAGUCUAUCAUUUCGGGAAAGCUCGCAGGCUAUGGUUGACUCGUGGACUUCACCCUGCUUGAAAGCAUUUGCACAUUCCAGUGAUGUUCGUUUGUACGAGGUGUCCUUAACGGAUCAAUGGUUAUUGUCACAUAAGCUCUCAUAAGGAAACUACUUCUUAACUACAUGAGAAAACCCACGCCUGCAGAGAAGCAAGAUGCUCUGCAGAGGCAGAUCGUUUAUUCCUUUGGUGAUCAUUAUUACUUCAGGAAGGAGCUUAAAAUAGUAAAUCUUCUUACAAAUAUGCAUUCUUACUCGACAAAUCUGGUAGAGUACGGUGGUCAGGUACUGGAGCAGCAACAGAGGAGGAGGUGCCGUCGCGCUUUUACAUUGCACAUCCAUAUUGCUGGAAGAGAAGUAAGAAACAAAUGUUUUGAUUCGAUGUUCAAAUUUGAGGACACUUGAUCGAGCAAACAAGACAUAACGAGAUCGUUGUUUUGGAAGAGUAGUGAUACGAACCUCUAUUAUUAUUAUUUAGUUUAGAUAUUAUAGGGAUUUAGCAUAUCUUUUUCUAUAUCUUUGUUUUCUUGUUCAUUAAGUCAGUAGCAUUAUAAAUAGGAUAGACUGUUAUCUUUUUUAUUCAUUC